rnacentral:ncRNA from 1 species
AUGCCUCGUCAUCUAAUUAGUGACGCGUAUGAAUGGAUCAACAAGAUUCCUUCUGUCCCUAUCUACUAUCUAGCGAAACCACAGCCAAGGGAACGGGCUUGGCAAAAUCAGCGGGGAAAGAAGACCCUGUUGAGCUUGACUCUAGUCUGACUCUGUGAAGAGACAUGAAAGGUGUAGCAUAGGUGGGAGAUUGUCAAUUUGCCAUCGUUCACGCGAUGGUCCGGUGAUCGCCAAUGAAAUACCACUACUUUGAUCGUUUCUUUACUUAUUCGGUAAAGCGAAAAAAUUGUGGCCAAUUUGGCGGCGUUUAUGUCGCUGUUGGUCAUUGUUUUCAUGUUGGAUUGAAGCUUUGUUUACAGCCGUCGCUUUGUGUCUUCAUUUGGCGCAUUGUUGUACUGGGUUAUCCCAGUGUGUGAUGUGGUCACAAUGGAUGAUCGGCGAUAGGCUUGAAGUGAUUCGCUCCGGAAACAGUGUCAGACGGGGAGUUUGACUGGGGCGGUACAUCUGUUAAACGAUAACGCAGGUGUCCUAAGGUAAGCUCAGCGAGGACAGAAACCUCGCCUAGAGUAAACGGGCACAAGCUUACUUGAUUUUGAUUUCCAGUACGAAUAGAAACCGCGAAAGCGUGGCCUAUCGAUGAAUCCACCACA